GGCCUUGCGCUAUCAGAUGAGCCUAGGUCGGAUUAGCUAGUUGGUGAGGUAAUGGCUCACCAAGGCGACGAUCCGUAACUGGUCUGAGAGGAUGAUCAGUCACACUGGAACUGAGACACGGUCCAGACUCCUACGGGAGGCAGCAGUGGGGAAUAUUGGACAAUGGGCGAAAGCCUGAUCCAGCCAUGCCGCGUGUGUGAAGAAGGUCUUCGGAUUGUAAAGCACUUUAAGUUGGGAGGAAGGGCAGUA
rnacentral:rRNA from 1 species